rnacentral:ncRNA from 1 species
CGGCGCUGUUUGCCACCUCGAUGGGUUUAUAUCUAGAGUCAUCGUCGAGAUACUUAAAACGGGUGAAUUGCAAGAACGUCAUUACUAAUGGUAAUUUGCAGCCUAGCUCUAUUCAGUGCUUUAAUGAAUAGAAAAGGUUCAACGACUAGAAAGUGAGAAGUACUAUCAAUAAUCUUUCCAAGAGCGCCCGUAAAUUACUUUUACAAAAUAUUCAACUUAAUUACAAUUUAAAAAGAAGUAAUUUAUGACAUAGUCUAAUCUACUGGGCGACUAGUAG